rnacentral:rRNA from 1 species
CCUACGGGAGGCAGCAGUGAGGAAUAUUGGUCAAUGGUCGGGAGACUGAACCAGCCAAGCCGCGUGAGGGAUGAAGGUACAGAGUAUCGUAAACCUCUUUUGUCAGGGAACAAAGGCGGGGACGUGUCCCCGGAUGAGUGUACCUGAAGAAAAAGCAUCGGCUAACUCCGUGCCAGCAGCCGCGGUAAUACGGAGGAUGCGAGCGUUAUCCGGAUUUAUUGGGUUUAAAGGGUGCGCAGGCGGUCUGUUAAGUCAGCGGUCAAAGUCCGGGGCUCAACCCCGGCACGCAGUUGAUACUGGGAGUCUCGAGUUGGAGAGAAGUAGGCGGAAUGCGCGGUGUAGCGGUGAAAUGCAUAGAUAUCGCGCAGAACUCCGAUUGCGAAGGCAGCAUGCCGGCUCCACACUGACGCUGAGGCACGAAAGCGUGGGUAUCGAACAGGAUUAGAUACCCGAGUAGUC